ACAUGCAGUCGACGAUGAACCACUUCGGUGGGGAUUAGUGGCGAACGGGUGAGUAACACGUGGGCUAUCUGCCCUUCACUCUGGGACAAGCCCUGGAAACGGGGUCUAAUACCGGAUAUGAGCCUGGGAGGCAUCUCCUGGGUUGUAAAGCUCCGGCGGUGAAGGAUGAGCCCGCGGCCUAUCAGCUUGUUGGUGAGGUAAUGGCUCACCAAGGCGACGACGGGUAGCCGGCCUGAGAGGGCGACCGGCCACACUGGGACUGAGACACGGCCCAGACUCCUACGGGAGGCAGCAGUGGGGAAUAUUGCACAAUGGGCGAAAGCCUGAUGCAUAGACGCCGCGUGAGGGAUGACGGCCUUCGGGUUGUAAACCUCUUUCAGCAGGGAAGAAGCGAAAGUGACGGUACCUGCAGAAGAAGCGCCGGCUAACUACGUGCCAGCAGCCGCGGUAAUACGUAGGGCGCAAGCGUUGUCCGGAAUUAUUGGGCGUAAAGAGCUCGUAGGCGGCUUGUCACGUCGAUUGUGAAUAGCCCGAGGCUUAACCUCGGGUCUGCAGUCGAUACGGGCUAGCUAGAGUGUGGUAGGGGAGAUCGGAAUUCCUGGUGUAGCGGUGAAAUGCGCAGAUAUCAGGAGGAACACCGGUGGCGAAGGCGGAUCUCUGGGCCAUUACUGACGCUGAGGAGCGAAAGCGUGGGGAGCGAACAGGAUUAGAUACCCUGGUAGUCCACGCCGUAAACGGUGGGAACUAGGUGUUGGCGACAUUCCACGUCGUCGGUGCCGCAGCUAACGCAUUAAGUUCCCCGCCUGGGGAGUACGGCCGCAAGGCUAAACUCAAAGGAAUUGACGGGGGCCCGCACAAGCGGCGGAGCAUGUGGCUUAA
rnacentral:rRNA from 1 species